rnacentral:rRNA from 1 species
UACGUAGAGGGCAAGCGUUGUCCGGAUUUAUUGGGCGUAAAGAGCGUGUAGGCGGUUUGGUAGGUCCGCUGUGAAAACUCGAGGCUCAACCUCGAGACGCCGGUGGAAACCAUCAGACUAGAGUCCGGAAGAGGAGAGUGGAAUUCCUGGUGUAGCGGUGAAAUGCGCAGAUAUCAGGAAGAACACCCGUGGCUAAGGCGGCUCUCUAGUACGGUACUGACGCUGAGACGCGAAAGCGUGGGGAGCGAACAGG